AACGCACAUUGCGCCCGCUGGCCUCCAGCGGGCAUGCCCGUCCGAGCGUCUGCUGACCCUCAGACUCUUUCAAGUCUAGCGUUGGGGUUUGUGAGCCACAACCCUGAAAAGCAGCAAACUUUUUAGCACCCUGCGUAGUAAGCCUCGCACCGGUGCCAAACUCAAGACCUCGGAUCGGGUAGGGAUACCCGCUGAACUUAA
rnacentral:misc_RNA from 1 species